UACGAAGGGUGCAAGCGUUAUUCGGAAUGAUUGGGCGUAAAGGGUGCGCAGACGGUAUGUUAAGUCAACUGUUAAAUUUCCCGGCCUAACCGGGAGCAAGCAGUAGAAACUGGCGUGCUAGAGGGUGGAAGAGAGAAGUGGAAUUCUCGGAGUAGCGGUAAAAUGCGUAGAUCUCGAGAGGAACACCGAUGGCGAAGGCAGCUUCUUGGUCCAUACCUGACGUUCAUGCACGAAAGCGUGGGGAGCAAACAGGAUUAGAUACCCUGGUAGUCCACGCCGUAAACGAUGAUCACUGGAUGUUAGUUGCCUUGUGCAAUUAGUAUCGUAGCUAACGCGUUAAGUGAUCCGCCUGGGGAGUACGGUCGCAAGAUUAAA
rnacentral:rRNA from 1 species